AUGGGUCCAAGGGGUCGCAAAGAGUCGGAUACAACUGAGCGACUUUCACUCAGAUGCCAUCAGCGAGACCUGCCUGUCGGCUGUCGCUUCAGCAUCUUCAGUGUGCAGCUGGGGGUUUCCUUCCCACAUGACCCUACACCCCUUCCAAACGGGCCUAUCUGUAGACGAACUUCUCCCGCAGAGAAAAGAAGGCUUUCCCCAAGCACUGGGGGAGCCAGUGAGGCCCCGAGGCUGCAGAGCUGCAGGCGAUGGUGCCCCGUGGAUGUGUGGAGAGGCACCGAAGGGUCCAAGUCCUACAAACACUCGCUUAGAGACCCCGUGGCCCGGGUUCUCUGGGAGCGCAGUGUUGAGAGGCGCCGUCUUCCGGAUGGGGACGCACCAAGGGGAUGGGAAGUGGAAUCUGCCCUCAUACGUCCAGGGGCCCCUCUGGAUGUGGUACCCAGGACCAGCCACAGUGAUGAGAAUUCCCGGAUGCCCACGCUUACCACCAGCUUUUACCAGGAGGCUUUGGAGUUUCAGGACUGCCUAGGUCACCUUUGGAGUUCAGAGCAGGGAUGGCCAUACACGAGUUCAGGGCGGCUCUAUCCGCCGACAUCUCCCUUGUGUGUUCCCGUGAGGCUGGAGGAGGCUGCAGGAACGCAGAAGUCUACCGCCAGCUUUCCAGCAGGACACGGUCUACUGCUAACUGAGAGAGACAGGGAGCGAGAGGCCAGGACGGAAUUACAUCCUGCUCGGACGCUACCUCCCGGCAGUCUCUGA
rnacentral:lncRNA from 1 species